AGGAUGAACGCUGGCGGCGUGCCUAACACAUGCAAGUCGAGCGAGAACCAGUCCUUCGGGACUGGGAAAGCGGCGAACGGGUGAGUAACACGUGGGUAAUCAACCCUUGGCACUGGGAUAGCCCGAGGAAACUCGGAUUAAUACCGGAUGGCCCAGCAGUCUUUCGGGACGGCUGGAAAAGGUAGCUUUGGCCUCCGGCCAGGGACGAGCCCGCGGCGGAUUAGCUUGUUGGUGGGGUAAUGGCCUACCAAGGCGACGAUCCGUAGC
rnacentral:rRNA from 1 species